rnacentral:rRNA from 1 species
UACAGAGGGUGCAAGCGUUAAUCGGAAUUACUGGGCGUAAAGGGUGUGUAGGUGGUUAGGUAAGUUAGAUGUGAAAUCCCCGGGCUCAACCUGGGAAUUGCGUUUAAAACUGUUUAACUAGAGUAUUGUAGAGGAUAGUGGAAUUUCCAGUGUAGCGGUGAAAUGCGUAGAUAUUGGAAGGAACACCAGUGGCGAAGGCGACUAUCUGGGCAAAUACUGACACUGAGACACGAGAGCAUGGGGAG